CGCAGAGAGGGAGCGCCGCGGUGCUGACGCUCCUCCUGAUGCUCCUCCUGAUGCUCCUCCUGAUCCCAGGCGUCCGCUCUGAGGCGGUGGUCCGGCAGCCCGCCGUCGUCUCCGCCGCCGUGGGCGGGGACGUGCGUCUGCCCUGCGAGCUCCAUCUGUCCGGCGAGAGCCUGAAGACCACGCCCGUGUUCUACUGGAGUCUCUGGAGAGGAGAGGAGAAGGGGGUGGAGAGGUGGCCGACCAGAGCGACGGCCGGACGCCCACCGGGCAGCCGCUGCUGCUCAGAGGCGUCAGCUGGGCCGACGGCGGGAGCUACCUCUGUAAGGUCUCGCUCCGGACGGAUCAGAACGGAAGCUACAGGAAAAACGGGAACAAAACCAAACUCCUGCUUUACGAUGAGCUGCUCUUCAAGCGCUGCAUGAACCAGACGCAGCUCUGCUGCCAAGGGAACGUGACGCAGGACGCCGCCUUCUCGCUGUCCGUCCUCCAUGAUGGGCAGACGCUCCCAGCAGACGCAGCUGCAGUCGCAGACGCAGCUGCAGCUCAGGCCCAGGCCUUCACCUUGUCCAGGGUCGCCCCUCUGCAGGGGGCCGGGAGGUACGAGUGCCAGCUGCUCCUCGGAGGAGGUCUGAUGACGAAGAGCCUCCUCAUCCUCAAUGAGACCGAGGCCGGAGGGGGCGGAGCCAACACGACCUCCAGCCUUCCCUCUGUGGGCGUGAACCCGGAGCCGUGGCUGCUGUACGGGACGGUGCUGCUGGUCCCCGUGGCGGUGCUGCUGGUCCUGCUGACGGUGCAGAUGAGCAGCCGGCUGAAGGAACCUCCAGAGGAGGAGUGCUGAAGGAAUCUGUGGACCGACCGGUCAGUCUGAAACCAGGGGGGAGGAGCUUAACGUCCCGUUCUCCUCCUGAACCAGAUGAACUCUGACCUGUGAGACCUCUGACGGUCUCUGCUCUCAUCAAAGUGACUUCAGUUCCAGGAGGCAUCUUCACCCACGAGUCAGAAGCUCCAGCAGUAAACAUAAGAACGUUGUAAUGUUUCAAAAUUGUAAUGAGAAAAAUUAAAUUAUUAAGUCUACAUUUAAUGUGUUUAAACUCAAGAAUCCAUGUUUGUUUUUAUGUUUAUAAGAGAGAAAAAAGUAAAACAUCAAUAAAUGAACGAAUAAAAUAAUCCAAUAAAUGAUCCUUCAGUGAAGCAGCAUGGCGAGAACGAGACAGUAGACCCCGCCCACAUCGCCUCUCUCUGACCCUUCAGGAUGUUUUGAUUCGUUAAAAGUUUCUUAAACUUCACGUGUUUGAAUUUGCAGCAUGAACAGUUAAAUGUGUUUUCACCUAUACACAAUUUGAAUUAAAAACAUAUUUGUUUGUUAUUCUCUUAUGACUUUAAGUGUUAUGAUUUGAUAAGCCACGCCCAC
rnacentral:lncRNA from 1 species